rnacentral:rRNA from 1 species
AUUGAACGCUGGCGGCAGGCCUAACACAUGCAAGUCGAACGGAAGAACCGUGCUUGCUUGUGGUUCCAGCGGGGGACGGGUGUGUGAUGCCUGGGAAUAUCCCUGUCUGUGGUUUAUAACGUCCUCAAGCAGGCGCUAAUACUCCAUUCGUGCAGAUGGUGUAAGUGGGGGAGCUUCGGACCUUCCGCUCUCAGGUGAGUGUAGGUGGGAUUUGCUAGUUGGUGGGUUGAAGGGCUACCAAGGCGACGAUCCGUAGCUGGUCUGAGAGGAUGAUCGGCCACACGGGAGCUGAGACACGGACCAGACUCCUACGGGAGGCAGCAGUGGGGAAUAUUGGACAAUGGGCGAAAGCCUGAUCCAGCCAGGCCGCGUGUGUGAAGAAGGUCUUCGGAUUGUAAAGCCCUUUUGGUGGGGAGGAAGCGCAGUAGGUUAAUACCAUGCUGUUGUGACGGUACCGAGAGAAUAAGCACCGGCUAACUUCGUG